rnacentral:rRNA from 1 species
UGCGUAGGCGGUUUCUUAAGUCAGUGGUGAAAUUUUGUGGCUCAACCAUAAGCGUGCCAUUGAAACUGAGAGACUUGAGUGCGGACGAGGAAGGCGGAAUGUGUUAUGUAGCGGUGAAAUGCAUAGAUAUAACACAGAACACCAAUUGCGAAGGCAGCUUUCCAGACCGUAACUGACGCUGAUGCACGAAAGCGUGGGUAGCGAACAGGAUUAGAUACCCUGGUAGUCC